rnacentral:tRNA from 1 species
GUGGCAGGAUGGUUAAGCAUUUGGCUGCUAACCAAGAGGUUGGUGGUUCAAACCUACCC